rnacentral:rRNA from 1 species
UACGUAGGGUCCGAGCGUUGUCCGGAAUUAUUGGGCGUAAAGGGCUCGUAGGCGGUUUGUCGCGUCGGGAGUGAAAACACGGGGCUUAACCCCGUGCCUGCUUCCGAUACGGGCAGACUAGAGGUAUGCAGGGGAGAACGGAAUUCCUGGUUUAGCGGUGAAAUGCGCAGAUAUCAGGAGGAACACCGGUGGCGAAGGCGGUUCUCUGGGCAUUACCUGACGCUGAGGAGCGAAAGUGUGGGGAGCGAACAGG